rnacentral:misc_RNA from 1 species
UCCCCCCUCAAACCCCGGGUUUGGUGUUAGACCCAAGUUGUGUGAACAACUGGUCUCAAAGACAAUGACGGCGUCCGUGGGACCCUCGGUGCAACGAGCUUUUAGGAGCACGCGUCGAGUUUCAAGGACCUUCCGGGCCGGUCUCCUUUUUAUCAUCUCAA